rnacentral:rRNA from 1 species
GACGAACGCUGGCGGCGUGCUUAACACAUGCAAGUCGAACGGAAAGGCCCUGCUUUUGUGGGGUGCUCGAGUGGCGCACGGGUGAGUAACACGUGAGUAACCUGCCCUUGACUUUGGGUUAACUUCAGUAAACUGGGGCUAAUACCGGAUAGGAGCUCCUGCUGCAUGGUGGGGGUUGGAACGUCUCGGCGGUUGGGGAUGGACUCGCGGCUUAUCAGCUUGUUGGUGGGGUAGUGGCUUUCCAAGGCUUUGCCGGGUAGCCGGCCUGAGAGGGUGACCGGCCACAUUGGGCCUGAGAUACGGCCCAGACUCCUACGGGAGGCAGCAGUGGGGAAUAGUGCACAAUGGGCGGACGCCUGAUGCAGCAACGCCGCGUGCGGGAUGACGGCCUUCGGGUUGUAAACCGCUUUCGCCUGUGACGAAGCGUGAGUGACGGUAAUGGGUAAAGAAGCACCGGCUAACUACGUG